rnacentral:lncRNA from 1 species
ACAAGAGGGUGAGUGAGUCAACAGGCAGGCCUUCGAGCUUCACUCCAGCACUCUGACUUUUGCCUCUGGGUACUAGGAGUUGUGGCCUGGUUUCUAACACUGCUCUACCAUGGAACCGCUGUGAGAUAGGAAGGGAGAAAGCAGGUAAUCUGGUUUUAAGAACAAGAGUUUAGGAGAUUUUUAGCUGUUUCCAGAUGUGGCUGCUUAUUCAAAAUACCUGAUGAUCCUGGGAGUUCCUGUCAUGGCUCAGUGGUAACUAAGCUGACUAGUAUCCAUGAGGAUGCAGGUUCGAUCCUUGGCCUCUCCUGGUGGGUUAAGGAUCCGGUGUUGCCAUGAGCUGUGGUAUGGGUCGCAGAUGCAGCUCAGAUAGGGUGUUGCUGUGGCUGUGGCAUAGGCUGGCAGCUGUAGCUCCGAUUUGACCCCUAGCCUGGGAACUUCCAUGUGCCUUGGGUGUGGCCCUAAAAAGCAAACAAACAAAUGAACAAAAAAAAGUGAUGAUCCUGUUAAAAAAACACAGAUGCUUGAGAUUUAUCCUUCUCCUACUGUUUCCGCAGGUCCAAGGCUACUGAGUGAAACCAGGCAUAUGUAUAUGUAUGUGUAAGUGUGUGUGUUUGUGUGGGCAUAUAUUUGUACUAGUGGUGUACACUAAUUAUUCAUCAUGAUUAUUGUUACUAUCAUUAUCAUUAUCUCUUCACAGCUCUGUGGGUAGAUUGAGCCCAGCUAGUCUCGUGUGAUGGUUGAAGCUCAAGUCAUUCUGAAGACUUCCUUUCUUGCUUGUCUGGACUGUGGCUCAGAGCAUCCACACUCAGCUUCUUCUUGUGGCCAGGAAGGGUGAUUCUUGGUAAGAUAGGCAGGGAUUUAUGAUUACUUCGGGGAACAACUGGACCGUAGGAACUUUUUAGUGCCUUAAAAUUGUAAAACUCUAGAACCUGAGCCAUCACUUUUGACAUAAAGAGUAUCUUCUAAGAGAACACCAAUAUACAUAUUUCCAAAUACAGGAUUAUCAGAAAUUCUAACAAAAAGCUGGUAGAAUGCUGCCUGAUGGAAUGCUGCUUACCCAGUUGCACGUGUGUUUAUUGGACAUGGGCAAGGGCCUGUUCUGGGAGGGGUCCAGUCUUCUAUUGAUUUUCAUAGCUGCUGACAAAGACUCCACGUUAUCUAGAGUGUGGAUACACCGAAUCUGGGUCUGUAUUUCCUUGAGACUCCCACUCCCGCUGCCCGUGGGAACUGAGAGUCUGGGGCAGGAGAGGAAGCCAGAGCCUUCACAGAGAGUGGCACUUCCUGUGCGGCUCCCUGCCAGGCUUGGCUCGUAGCCUGCCUGGAAUAUCGGGCCAAGGCUGGGGACAACUCUAGAAUCAUGCAGUCCUGGGGAAGUUUUACUUGCCAACAUUGUGGGGUGGGGUCCACACAAACAUUGCAUUGGCCGGUUUGCGUCACCCUCCAGCAGGCAUCUGAUUUACUAUGACAUGACGGUAACUGCUUUUUGCCUUUGGAUCCAGCUGAUAUCUUCACUGGAUAGGCAUUUUGGAUCUUUCUAGAAAACAUUUGUAAUGAGUCCCUAAUUAAUAUACCGUAAGGCAACAUUUGGUUCUUCACUGGGUGCUCUGAUCAUUUUAAGCAUGAAAAAGAAAGUGUAGUUAAGUAUAGUAGUCACUUGUUACUUCUCAUCUCAUUAGUUUAGAGACGUAAGUUGACAGUAGAUGUCAUAACCUUUUUUUAACAAGGUGGAGAGUCUCCAGACUGACUCCUAAUAAAAUGAGUUUUUAAAAAGAGACCCUAGACUGGGGGUUUGGGAUUGGCACAUGCACACGGAGGUAUAGGGAACGAUUGGCCAAUGGGGACCUGCUGUCGAGCACAGGGACCUCUACCCAGUACUCUUUGAUCAUCUAGGUAGGAAAAGAGUCUGAAAGAGAAUGGAUGUGUGUGUGUGUAUAACUGAAUCACUUUGUUGUAGAGCAGAAAUUAUCCCGGCAUUAUCAAUCAGCUAUGCAUCAACAAAGCUUUAAAAAAUGAAAGAGAGAGAGAGAGAGAGAAACUCGAGCUUUCCUUAUAGUAAAUGGAAACAGGUCAACUGAGUCAAGUGUGAGUAAGGCCGAGUGAUGAAUAAUUAAUAAUACUGUGAUAUUUCAGGUAAACAAACUGCUCUGUUGUUUAAUGAUUCUUAUUUCCUAAUUUAGAAUUGCCACAAUAUCUAGGAAUUGUCACCUUCUGGUGUAGAAUGAGACAAUGUUAGGGGUUUCCAUGAUUCAGUUUAAAGCAAAAGGAAACACACAUUCUCCUUCUGGGCAGGAAAUUGACAGUGUCCUCUGAAAAUGUGACCAUCAGAUGGAGGAAAACGGGCCAGUGAGACAAAACAUCCACCUCACCUGCCUGAUGGGCUUUCAUCUUCGAUGUUUCUAAUUUAAAACUCAACCAAAGCUCAGUGGUUCUUCAGUAUCAGGAGAAAGAGGUUAAACUGCAGCUGAAGGUGAUGGGGGGCUGGGGACCGAGUGCACAGGGCCAGACCGAGCCCUUCUUACUGACACGAGACCUUCCGGGGCUGCCCUCUUUGCAGAAACUAAAGAGUCUCACCGCCAGGAGCAGAGGUGAGAUAACAGCCACGCUCUGAGCUGCGCUCACUGGGCGCCUUUAGGUAAACUUCUUUGGAAUUCUUCCAUCUUUAAAAUGCAGAUAACAACACUGACAUUUCUGUUAAUGCUGAAAUGGGAUCAUUUAUUCAUUAAAAUGCUCAAAAAGUACUGUACACACCUAAGACAGUGGUACUAAAACCAACCUAAUAAAAUCAUUUCAAUUUUAUUUGGUAACAACACUCAUAUUUGCAAAUAAUUCUCCAUAAAAUUGGGGUCCCUGAAAGUAAUGCAAUACCAGAGGAGCUCAGUUUGAGUGUUUAAUUUGCAUUUCUUGGCAUUUUUUUUUCCUUUUCUUUUCUUUCACCCUUCCUCCCUGCUUCCUUUCUUCUCUCUCUCUCUUUCUUUCUCUUGCUUCACCCAGGCAUGUGGACAUGCCUAGGCCAGGGAUCAAACCUGCCCCAUAGCAGUGACCUGAGCUGCUGCAAUGAUAGCAUCAGAUCCUUAACUGGCUGAACCCCAGGAGAGCUCCUCUGUGUAUUCUUAAUUCUGAUUUUUCAUGAGUUUCUUUUCCUUGUGUUUUCAUUAAAUGAAUAAUUAUUGUUGACUUCUUACGUGUAGGGCUCCAUACAGUUCCCUGUGGGACCCAUAAACAUGACAAAACACUCUUUCCAUCUUCACAAAACUGUUCCCGUGAUCUUGGAGCUGUACAUUUUGUAUCAUUAAACUGAUUUGCGGGUGCUGGAGGUGUGCUUCCUGAAUUCCUUCCCGGGUAAUGAACAGAAUUGAUCGUCGCCGGAGCGUCAGCAGAGGCUGUCCGUGUUAACAGCUUUCAUCAGAUAAUGUUUCUUCGAAAGGAAGUUCAAAAGGACCAGUCCUGUUAGAGUGCGGACCUUGACCUCCUGUGGCCAAAAAUCCUGUUUCCCUGUGUUUUUAAAGGAAACACGUUUGCGAAGAGCUCCCAAUCCCAGAUUCAGUGGUUUUCCUUAAAGAGAGACAACAAUGGAAUUCUGGGAGAGGUCUGACACAAGCGGAUUCAUCUGAGGCCUCUCCGGAGAGAGCCGUGUUUGUUUACUCUGCUCAGAGGCCUGUACUUCUAUGUACGUGCUAUUCUUAGAGCCCUUUGAAGUAUUCAAGUCAUAUGUCAUAGACCUCCUCUUGAUAAAAAACUUGAGGCUGUUUAUCGGAGGGGUCCGAAGAGAACAGAGAAAAGGAGAAACACCUGUUUGUUGAGAGUGGACUCCGAGGAAUCCCGGAGCAGACGUUUGGAAAUUUGGAUCCUAUGUACACAGCGUCCCAUUUUGUUUAUUGUACAUCCUGGGCUGCUCUUCAGAUAGCCGCUUUUAAAGCGGAAAAUAGGAUUGCAUCUGGAAGGCCAGAGAUGCACCCGGACAAUUGUGUGGUAUCUAGAAACUGUCUUGGUCUGGAAGUUAACCAGGAAUAAGGCUACCCUGAUGCUAUAUGUUGUGAGUAUCUAAGGAGAGAAGCCGUAUGAACUUGCUUUCUGAGCACAGCGAUUGAAAAACUGACAUAUUUUACUUCUUUGGCUCGAUCAUCAGUUAUUUAUUUUUAAGGCACUUUAUUUUUUUAUAUCAGUUAAUUUUUUUUUUUUUUUUUUUUUUUGCCAUUUCUUGGGCCGCUCCAGUGGCACAUGGAGAUUCCCAGGCUAGGGGUCGAAUCAGAGCUGUAGCCACCAGCCUACGCCAGAGCCACAGCAGUGCGGGAUCCGAGCCGUGUCUGCAAACUACACCACAGCUCACGGCAACGCCAGAUCCCCAACCCACUGAGCAAGCCAGGGACCGAACCUGCAACCCCACGGUUCCCAGUCGGCCUCGUCAACCACUGCGCCAUGACAGGAACUCCUUAACUCAGUUAAUUUUACUGUGUUUGUAGUUGUACAACCAUCAUCACAACCCAGUUUUACAUUUCAUCCCACUCUUUUUUAAAGAGUAAAGCUCUUUAAAAAAUUCAAAAUAGAAAAGCACAAAAUGUUUUUAAAAUGAUAUGCAGUUUAAUUGUUUUAACCUUAUAGCAAUAUUCCUUAAACUUCUUUACACAUAAAUUUAUAUCUUAACUUCAAAGAGUUAACUUCAAAUUUCUACAUACUGUUUCCUGUGUGAAAGUAAAAAUCCAUGUCCUGUGUUGAUAGAUAGUUGUUUAUUUAUUUAUUUUGGGGGGGCUGCGCCCAUAGCAUCUGGAGGUUCCUGGGCCAGGGAUCAAAUCUGCAUCACAGCAGCAACCUGAGCUACUGCAGUAACAACACCAGAUCCUUAACCCACUGCACCACAAGGGAACUUCCAGUAGAUAUUUAAAUAAUUUUGUUGAACUACUAAAAAGUAAAAAUCACAAUGAGCACUUAUGUUACAUAUAUUUUCAGUCAUUCUCAAACAUCCCUUAUUGAAGGUAAAGUGUCUGAAAAGACGGGAAAGACUCACUCAAGAUAAUAUGCUAUUGAAGAUGUGGGCUAGGAGUUCCUGUCGUAGCUCAGCAGAAACGAAUCUGACUAGCAUCCAUGAGGAUGCAGGUUCGAUCCCUGGCCUCACCCAGUGUGUUAAGGAUCCUGCAUUGCCAUGAGCUGUGGUGUAGGUCACAAAUGCGGCUUGGAUCCAGUGUUGCUGUAGCUGUGGUGUAGGCUGGCAGAUGUAGCUCUGGUUAGACCCCUAGCCUGGGAACUUCCAUAUGCCUCAGGUGUGGCCCUAAAAAAGACCAAAAAAAAAAAAAAAAA